GUUUUAGUAGUUUAUACAAAAAUAGUAAUAUGUGAAAUUACAGAAAUUAAUUUAUAAAACA
rnacentral:tRNA from 1 species